GCAUAACGCGAAGAACCUUACCACCUUUGACAUGUACGGAAUCCUUUAGAGAUAGAGGAGUGCUCGAAAGAGAGCCGUAACACAGGUGCUGCAUGGCUGUCGUCAGCUCGUGUCGUGAGAUGUUGGGUUAAGUCCCGCAACGAGCGCAACCCUUGCCAUUAGUUGCUACGAAAGGGCACUCUAAUGGGACUGCCGGUGACAAACCGGAGGAAGGUGGGGAUGACGUCAAGUCCUCAUGGCCCUUAUAGGUGGGGCUACACACGUCAUACAAUGGCUGGUACAAAGGGUUGCCAACCCGCGAGGGGGAGGCUAAUCCCAUAAAGCCAGUCGUAGUCCGGAUCGCAGUCUGCAACUCGACUGCGUGAAGUCGGAAUCGCUAGUAAUCGUGGAUCAGAAUGUCACGGUGAAUACGUUCCCGGGUCUUGUACACACCG
rnacentral:rRNA from 1 species